rfam:Cajanus cajan CcLG08_165, whole genome shotgun sequence.
AUUCGGCGAUGACAAAUUGAAAGGCUUGUUUCUCUAAACAUUCGCAGUGGCCGCCUGAGAGCUUUCGCCUUCGCUGGGCCUGAGUGCUUAUGCUGCUUUUGUCCUUCCUUGGAUGUCUCAGUUU